AUGUGCACUGAAAUGUCACAUGCUGUUGGGAAGUUUGUUAUCGGCUUAGGUAAACUCGACGAGGAGGAACCUGGCACUAGCCGGAACAUGGACAAUCCACCACGUGCAACUGAACAACACAGUAGUCGGAGGAAGCGAGCAACGCCAAAAGUGACUCACCACAACUCAAGUGAGGACGAGGAGUCAUUCAAGUCAGAUGAAGAGAGUGAAGAUGAGGACGAGAGCGAAGAUAAGGAAUCAAAAUCAAGUAGUGACAACUCAGGGGAUGGAAGCGAGGAUGGUGGCCCAGGUGACGAUGACGACGAUGAUGAUGAUAGUCAUCAAGGAGGCAAUGUCAGUCACAGUUCUGCGGAGGAGGUUGACGAGGAUAUUGAGGAGACACAUAAAUCAACAGAAAAUAAGGACGACAAUGAUGACACCAUGUAUGGAGGGAAUGACAGUGGCACCCAAUGUGGUGAGGGACAUAAACACCAGGUUGACGCACAGCGUAACCGCGAAGCCGAUGAUGAUGAAACAGAGGAAGAUGAUGAAGCUGAGGACGGCCAGGAACAUGUUGAGGAGGGAAGUGCCAAGAGAAAUGAUGAUGGAAACAGAGAUGACGAGGACCACUAUGGAGGUGGCAAUGUAGGAGGAUACAAUAGGAACAACACUUCUGAUGGAGAUGAAGGUGGAGGAAGCUCAAGCAGCAGCAAGGAUGAUGACAGUGCAUCAAAUUUCUGCAUCAAGCUGAGUGAUGGCAAACAACAAGGAGGUGCUUCAGAAACAUUUUCACUUCGAGAUAUGGUCAGGAUGGAAUUCAAGAAGAAGUGGGACCCUUUCCGAAAUCAACUUGAGACACCUAAAGUUUGGGAUGGGCGAAAUAUUCAGUCAUAUACCAAGUUGUUAUUCCAGCAGAUGUUGUUAAACAAUGAAGACAAAGAAGUAGGCAUCAAAUUUGAUCAUGAGGAGAUAUGCCCUCCCAAAGCACGGAAAGAACUCAUGCAAGAAAUUUGCGGAAUAAAACAGUCAGAACCAAAUUCAAGAGAUUGUUCAAACAAAGUUCUACCCCCAAUGCAACCAAGGAAGCAAAAGAGAGUGUCAUUCAACCUGGUCCCGAAACCUGCUGUCCCUGUAGAAAACAGGCAAGUCCCCAAGGCACUGAUAUCAUCACUCAAACCUAAGGGGCAAACUCAAAAAUUUCAAGAGGAAACUGAGGUGAUAAAGACAGCAAGUCUAGCAAAAGGUGAGGCAACUUGCAUGGUUAUGCAGGCAAGUCAAAAUUCAAAAAAAUCAGGGACUGCACACUUAUCUUCUGCGCAUCCAGGAACACAUGAAGUAAAAAAAGAUCAUUUCGACAAGAUUCCAAAAUUAUUUGAGCCAAUGACAUUGGGAGAGAAGAGCAAGCAAGCAAGUCCAAUGGAAAACUUGCCCACCACAGCAAUUAAGUCGCUUUGUAGUAACCCACAACAUGACACCUUACCAGGCUCUGGUGGAAAUCAAGCAAGCAAAGUGGAGAUGUUGCCUACAAGGAGUACUCAUGUCAUUUCGCAAAGGGUUGAUGGAAAACAAACAGUACCAGACGAGAACUUGCCAAGGUCUCCUGCUGAUUUGCCUACAAUGGCAACUGAACUUGCCAGGGAACCUAAUAUUGGUGGAAAUAAAACACAGCCAGAAGAUAAGUUGCCCAGAUUUGUUACUCAGUUGCCUGCAAGGAGCCAACAACUUGCUACAUCACCUACAUCUGGUGGAAAUCAAACAGUGUGUGAGCAAAAGCUGUGCAGCCCUGUUGUUGAUUUGCUUGCAAGGAGCCCUCAAGCUGCAACCACAGAGAAGUUGCAUAGAAUUGAAAAGGUGAUGCCUCCAAGGUCAGAUGUAACAUAUCUAGGACCUGUAGCAAAGUUACUCAAGACUAACCUCACGUUGCCCUCGACACAACUCCAAGGUGAUGCACUGACAGAGAUUUUCCAAGAGAGUCAAGCUGUAGACUUGCUUAGUUAUGAUCUCAACUUCCCUAGCUCAAAUUCCCACUGCGCAGAAAAGCAAGUGAAUGAUGCAAACAAGGAGAAGUGCCCAUCGGUGCCACACCACGAGCAAAAUGUUGAUAUAGUUAAGAUAAAUGAAAUCUUAGCAAAGUGUGCUGUUCCAACAGAUGCACACAUCCACAUUGCAGGACAGAGAAUAGUUGAAGAGUCAACCAAGGAGCUUCAGAGCACAAGGGUGUCAGGGACGUGGGAUGAGUACUGUCCAACACCCAGUUUUGGGCUGAUUUUGGAGGAGCUGGAACCAGGUCUCGAGGAAAGAAACAAGGAAAGCAUACAUUUGCAGGGUGUUCUUGAUGCGCAAGCAGGGGAAGUCGCAAUAACAAGCACAAUAGAAACAAUAAACCUCGAGGAUGAUGAAUGGGAUGCAGAGCAAAUAGAGGCAGCGUGUGUUGAAGCAGAGAGAAGGUUGAAAGAAUUUGUUGGGCAAUGUGCUGAUGGUACCUUGUCACCAACUAACUUCAAUACGCCAGAAAGAGUCUCCACAAAGACUGAUGAUGGAUCAGGUGGCAAAUUUUCAAGCAGCAGUAGUUCAGGGGAGUUAAUUACCAAUCAAUAUGAGAGGAGGCUCAUAAGGCCGUCUGCACCUUUGAGGUCACCUUUCUUGGACCUUGACACCAAAAAGGAAUUCUAUUGCAAACCCGAAGUCAACCGUUUGUAUGCGUCUGUUAUUUUGCAUGCAAGGAUCUGUGUAGAACAAUCACCCGACAAUGACAUCGGCCCAAAUGUCAUCGAUUUCAAUGGGUACUUUGUAACUGUGAGGGAGCUUGCAGAGUCAAUGAAGUGUGACGGUUUUGUCCUUUCGCAUGUCUUCGAAGUUGGCUUACAGUCUAUAAUACAUAACUUGCCACCAGACUCAAGGAAAGUUAUCAUGCCAGUUAGAUUCUCGGUGAGGCUACAACAGAUGGAUUGGAACACACAAGAGAUUACUUCCAAGUUCAAGAAGUCAAAUCACUUGGACCGAAAAGACAUGAUUAUGUUCCCUAUAUUAGAGAAUCUUGAUCCAGCAAAACCAAAAACGGGGAAUCAUUACUGGGUCUUUAAUCUGAACAUAAGAGACAAGAGGUUUGAAGUCCUUGAUUCAUGGAGGACACUAGAUGACUGUGUUUUGAACAACAAAGCUAGAGUGAUAGCAGCAAGUGUUCACAGUCUCUGGGAUCACCACUAUCGCAACUCGCAUGUUGUGCUGGAUGACUACCCACUGGUCAACACUGAUGUUCCAAAGCAAAGCAAUCACAUUGACUGCGGCAUUUAUGGCCUCAUGAACACACGCAAAUGGGUUGCCAGGGCUGUUCCAAAUUAUGAACCAAGCGAUAUACCAAAUAUCAGGAAGCAGUUGACCAGCAUGUGGGUUUCAUGUACACACAACAAAGCUCCUUGGAAGGAUAUUCUCGAGCUCUCGUAG
rnacentral:rRNA from 1 species